rnacentral:rRNA from 1 species
GACGAACGCUGGCGGCGUGCUUAAAACAUGCAAGUCGAACGGACUUCUCAUGAAGCUUGCGAUUGAGAAGUUAGUGGCGGACGGGUGAGUAACGCGUGGGCAACCUGCCCCUGAGCCCGGGAUAACAGUUCGAAAGGACUGCUAAGACCGGAUAUACUUGCGGUGAAGCAUUUCACUGCAAGGAAAGGGAACGCUCAGGGAUGGGCCCGCGUCCCAUUAGCUAGUUGGUGAGGUAACGGCCCACCAAGGCGACGAUGGGUAGCCGGCCUGAGAGGGUGAACGGCCACACUGGGACUGAGACACGGCCCAGACUCCUACGGGAGGCAGCAGUUGGGAAUCUUCGGCAAUGGGCGCAAGCCUGACCGAGCAACGCCGCGUGAGUGAAGAAGGCCUUCGGGUUGUAAAACUCUGUCAUCAGGAAGAAGAAAGUAGACGGUACCUGAGGAGGAAGCCCCGGCUAACUAACGUGCCAGCAGCCGCGGUAAAAGUCAACGUCG